UUCAGCAUCUGAAGACCCAGAGUAAGGCCCAUCUGUCCCUACUAAGCCUGUGUACCUAUUUUGCUUGCUACCAGUUCUUAAUUCAUCAAAACCAAUAUCAACUCCUGCAUCACCUAGGUCAAUAUCACCUCUAUCUUUUGUCCUUUCACUCCUGUUCCUCCUAUACUUCCUCAGUUCUUCCCUACACUCUACAAAUUCUUAAUGAACAUUAUUCCUGCAUCACCUAGGUUAAUAUCACAUCUAUCUUUUGGCCUUUCACUCAUUUUCCUCCUAUACUUCCUCAGUUCAUCCCUACACUCUACAAUUCUUC
rnacentral:lncRNA from 1 species